GUGAAAUUUUUUAAUUUUUUUUUUUUGGUCAACGCCGGAAUCCAAGAGUUGACCACCGGAAAAUCACUCCUGGUCCUUAUUGACAACAAAAAAUCACUAUUAGGCCUUCUUUCCCCACUUUUUUUUAUUAAAAGGUCCUUUUUGACAAUUUUUUGGUUUUGAAAGGUCCUUUCUGACAAAUUUUCCACAAAAAAAACAACAAAAAUUUAUCAAUUCCCCUCAAAAAAAAAAAAAAAAAAAAAAACUCUCCGCUCCUCUCCUCUCUUCUUUCGCCCAAAAUGCUAAUAUAGAACUAAAAAAAUCUCUAUGUUGUCAAUGUAUUUCAAAUAAGAAAGUGAAAUCAUCGAAGAACAAGCUGUCUACAGGUUCUAUAUGGUUACAGCGGGAAAGACAACAUCAUCCUUGUUUUUUCUGGUUCUUUAGGACAUAAAAGCGUGCUUCCCUUGCCAAUUAAGGUGAAAUUAAUAUCCCCGAAUGAAGGAGCUUAUUGAGAAGUGUCUGGUCCUUGCUUCAGAAAGAUUGCCUGCAAAGGAGCUACUCAAGGACCGUUUUAAUUCAAAAGAGUCCAUAUAUUGAGAUAGCUAACCAACUCUUCAAUUCACCUGUUGCUCCAACUUCAACGUCUCAUUCCUAGACCUGGUUAU